GAUGAACGCUGGCGGCGUGCCUAAUACAUGCAAGUCGAGCGAACAGAUGAGGAGCUUGCUCCUCUGACGUUAGCGGCGGACGGGUGAGUAACACGUGGAUAACCUAUCUAUAAGACUGGGAUAACUUCGGGAAACCUGAGCUAAUACCGGAUAAUAUAUUGAACCGCAUGGUUCAAUAGUGAAAGACGGUUUUGCUGUCACUUAUAGAUGGAUCCGCGCCGCAUUAGCUAGUUGGUAAGGUAACGGCUUACCAAGGCAACGAUGCGUAGCCGACCUGAGAGGGUGAUCCGCCACACUGGAACUGAGACACGGUCCAGACUCCUACGGGAGGCAGCAGUAGGGAAUAUUCCACAAUGGGCGAAAGCCUGACGGAGCAACGCCGCGUGAGUGAUGAAGGUCUUCGGAUCGUAAAACUCUGUAAGUAGGGAAGAACAAAUGUGUAAGUAACUAUGCACGUCUUGACGGUACCUAAUCAGAAAGCCACGGCUAACUACGUG
rnacentral:rRNA from 1 species